ACAUUGGAGGUUCAGUGGUAGAAUUCUCACCUGCCACGCGGGAGUCCCGGGUUCGAUUCCCAGCCAAUGCA
rnacentral:tRNA from 1 species